UGGUUUGUGUUUCAAAAAAAAAAAAAAAAAAAGGAAAAAAAGGUGCAUAAAUCUAAAAGCUCUUUGCUACUUGUGACCAUACAUCAUGUAUCAAAAACAGGCUUAAAGCAGUCAACAGGCUUGGUGAAGAUUCUCUGUGUUUUGAGCUUAUCUCAGCCUUAUUUAUGCCAGUGCCCUGAUGUUAAUUGGCUUUUAUAGUACCAACUUAAUCUUCAUAGUGGUAAGUGCCUUCUGAUGCAAGGCGUGUUGGAGUAAAUUCAUUUGUUAUUUGCAGAGUUCAUCUUCACACAAUAACGUUUAAUGAGAUGUGCUUUGUGCUUCAGACACCCAGCUCUGUAUUCAGGCAUGUGAGAGCAGUUGACUCUGCUGCUUUUUUUAAUUGAGCAUUUGUGUAGCUGAGGGAAGUUUGCGUGUUGGCAUUUUGUUGACAUGGCAGAAAAAUCCUGACCACAGAGAGCUCUGCACCUGUGCUGUGCGAGGAUCGCGCUGGUUUGGCAAGUCACAGGCAUAAAAUGCCCCAGGGCGAGCGUGUCAACAUUUGAAACUGAGACUGGCACGGAUACAAACUUCCCUAAGCUGUCUGCACAAAGCCAGCAGCAUCCUCCAGACCCUUUGAAUGAGGGGAGAAACAGCGAGCCCUGAAGAGAUGCUUUUGCUCUAUUGCUGGCCUAGCCAGCUACUGGUAUUUCAUGGAUAGGAGGGACAGCAGUGUUUUUGCACUUGGUUUUGUGAGAGCAGUUUGUGCCAGCCAUGCAAAAUAUGCACAGCUUGGCCUGCAGUGCCGGGUUUGCCAAGGGACCAGAGAUUUCUAUCGUCAAAUACAUGUUUUGCUUCCCAGAUCAUUUCAUUAGUUUCAGUCAGCUCUGCCUUACACCUAACUUGAAAAAUGUUUCAAGCUCUGCCAGCAGGUGAGAAAGGGAAAUGGAUGCUUUCACAUUCCACUGGCAGAUUUUCCUGCAAGGAAAAGUCCUUCUUGUUUGAAUUCUAAGUGUUUAUUCUGCAUUCACACGUCUGCAUGUGUAUGAAAGCAAAGGCAGCCAUUAAUGCCUUGCAUCACACUGUAUGAAAUGCAUAUUGGAAUGUGCUACAUAUUGCAUGGGACAUGUGUAAUACAUAAACCAGACAUAAUGCCAAGGUGCAAAAAUACAGAGAAUAGAUUUUGUGUAUAUAUUGUGCUUUUCAAGCCAUAAGACUAAGAAUGCUAAAGUCAUAUCAUAGCAUCAUAGAAUGACCUGGGUUGGAAGAGACCUUAAAAGUCAUCUCUUUCCAAAGAGGGACACUUUCCACUAGACCAGGUUGCUCAGAGCCCUAUCCUUUAAUAUAGUCAAAACUGGCUAUGGAACUGGUUGUGAGAAGGGAUCUGUUUGCAUCUUCAUUACUCUGCCUGUUUUCAGUUGUCUUGAGAUAUGGCUCCAUGCCUAGAGUGCUUUUAUUGUGGCAUCUCUCCAUCCUGGCCCUGCUCAUAUGGUAGAAGUUGUUUGUGCAAAUCAUAACUACUCCAUUUCUCCUGAGUCCUGUUGCCUUCUGAAAUGUUUUUGGUGUGCAGGGAUCUCCCUUGGGGUCAGCACACAACCAUUAUAUUAAAACCUCUGCUCUCCCUCUUGCUGAAAUCAGUAGGAAGAUGCCACUCGUCUCAGUCUGGGAGACAUGAGUUUGAUGUGGUGAGGGCUCAUAGCUCAGAGGGGUUUGCCUGAAUAAAGCCUAAUUGCUCUGUUUUUCAUGGCACUGAGGCAAAUGUUUGUGAAGUUCUGAGCCUUGGGGACCAUUCUGCAUCUCUUGAUGUGUGUAAUCAGCUGGUGGGUAAAUUGUCCUGGUGAAUAAGUGGAACUGAGGGGCAUGGUGGCAUCUCUGUUGAUUUUGUAUAAAAGUUGUCCAGUUCUUAGCGUGUCUUAGUCUUGGUGGUGUUCUUAGUUGUGUUUCGGGGUCACCUUAAUGAAAUCUUUACUGUGAGGCCAAGAGAGGGACUGUUCUUCAAAUUUUGUGUUGCUAGAAACUAGCAAAAGAAGCUGCUAUUUAAGAGGGAUGUUUCGAGGCUGCUGCCCUCUCCCAGCAGAAUGCCCAUGUUUGGGGAUAUUUUAUGCCUGAGUCUAUCAGCUGAUAAAAGUUCCCCCAAAGUAAGAUAUAAAAAACUCAGGUUGAACACAAGUUCAGGAGGAGUCAUGAGACAUGCUGAGCCUACGUCAGAAAAUUCCUGUGCUCGUUCUUCCCCCUGGGCCUGGCCCUGCUGGCCCUGCCAGGCAGGAGCCCUCCCUGCCCAGAACAGGUUGUUACGGCUGGGCAUGGAGACUCCAGCAAGAGAAAAAGAUCACUGGCAGCACAAUCCCAGCGUGUCUUACAAGAUCCUCUUGCAAAGAGCUGUCCUGCCUUUGGGUGGGAUCCAGCAGUGAGUUUCCAGGUGGAAUGCAGCAGUGAGUUUCUAGUGGGUAUUGGAACCUCCCACCCUCAGAUCGCACCCAAGCUGUGAAGGAAUUUUGUGAUGAGCAAGGCAGCUCUGUGCAGUUUUUGUGAGCCACGUUUGUCAGUUCUGAAAAGAAAAGUGCGCAUGAAAAUGUUUAAAGCAGGAGUGGUGUUUGCUCCCUGGGUUUUCUUGUUUGCUCUAAGAGAUACAGAAUGGCAAAUACAGAACACCAACAGAAGCAUGGAAACUGUAACCUUGGGACUCAUUUGGGGCAUGUAAAUCCUUCUCUAAGCACUUCCUGAAAAGCAGUGAAGUCCCAGAGUCAUCAGUAAUGCUAUAUGUUACAGAACCUGUGGAAUCUGACCUUUGUUAAGGCACCUUCAGAUUUUUUUUCACAUGACUGAAAUGACACAGUGGCACCAGUGCCAUUGACUUUACCAGAGGUCUCGUGCCACCGAACCACAGAGAUGCUUUCAAAAGCCUUACCUCAAGUUCUCAGCCCUUAGCACUGCCCUCGGCUGCUCAAAAUGCAAAUCUGUUUCCUUCUGAAGGUAGAGCACAUCCCUGUGAAGCCAAGUAGGCACCUCCAGGGACCUGUUUCCAUAACAACCUCCCGGACUGUUUCUCUCCGUGCUGUGAUUGUGGCUACAAGUGAAAGCACUCUUUGGAUAUUUUGUGCUCAGAUUUCAGCACCUUAUCUUUACAGAUGUUUUCUUUGCCUACUAGAGCUGAUCCCAUCACCUUAUAUUGUGUACAGCUGCCCUGUCCAACUUCAGGUGGGCAAUCUCCAGCCUUUGAAAGCAGGGAGUGCAAACCUGGAGAGGGGAAGAGAUUCUAUUUGUCCAUUCUUGCACACAGAGAGCUGGAGAGUGUGUGAAGGACAAUCUGAGCUGAGGGGCAACUGGCUUGUGAAUGUACAGUCAUCUGGGUGCCUGGUGACAAGGAAUAUAAGCUAAAGCAUUGCAUUAAAGACCCAGAAAUUCCUCUUGCAGCAAUCUCACUAGGAAAUAGUUUUGCAGUGGAAGAAACUAUUGCUCCUUCCAGAUCCCCUGGCUGGUUUGUGACGGUUGGUUCCCCUGAUAAUUUUCCCACAGGAUGUUUUGCACCAAAGCAGGCAGGGCAGAAAUCAUCUCCUUGGAGGUGGGGAAGAAAGGAAGGAAAGGAAGAAUUUUACUGAGGAUACCAUUUUUUUUUGUCCACACAAAGGACUGGAAGCAUGAAAGGCGUCAAGACCUGUUCUGUGGUGUUUUACUGUUGGACUCCUGCUCUCACCUCCAAGAUUCCUGUUCUGCUCCUUCUUGGAAAAUGUUAGAAUUUGGGAUUUUUGAGUAAUUUCCUGUUUGGGCCUUUUGAUCCAGCUUUCGUGGAUAAAAAUUCACUGCUACAGCAGCUGUGAGGGUGAAGGUGGACUUGAUCUUCUCUCCUGGGUCCUCUCAUUCGGAGGUCCCUAUGGGAUAAAGAAGAGUGAGUGUAAAGAAAAUUCAGGGCAGCAAGAGACAGGGUAAGGACUGAAGUGUCUUCCACAUGGUGAUGGAAAGAACAGCAUCAAGCCUAAAAGCAAAGGAACAAACAGCUCCAGCAUCUGCUGCUAUUGCAGAAAUAGGUCCUGUUUACAUCAGGGAAAGAUCUGCAGAUUACAGCAGGAGUCAAUCACAGCUUUCCCAAAAGCUCUCACCUGACUCAAGUCCAAGCUGGAUUCUGUGUGCUGCAAGGCUGUCAUGUCAGGAUGCUGCAAAAGAGGUUGUUGCAUCUUCUUCCUGUAAAGUUGGUGGAGUUUCUCUCUAUGCAGGGGGUACAACCUUUGUGGUCAGGAAACUCUUCUCCUUGCUCUGUGGUUUUCUUGCUGCUGCUGCUUUUAAAGGGGUCAGCAUUCCAGGAAACUGAAACGAAGUGUGAGCAGGGACUGGAGGAAGGAAGCAGAGAGAAUCCCCUACAAGAUUCCAAUGCAUCUUAUUUCUGGGAAAACUAAAUAAAGCAGGAUUCAACUGCCAGUGGCUGAAUAGCAGCAAUUUAUGAGCUGUUCCUCAAAAGCCCCAGACAAGCACCAAGUCCUGUGGGAAGCUGGAGAUUGACACAGGACACCUCCAGAAGAGUUUGCUGUUGAAACUUCCUUUAAGCCUUUUUUUCAAGUGAAGCAUCCAGAUCUGGCAAAUGCAUAAGGUCAGCCCUUAGAAGAGCAAAGAGCUCUCUCUAAGAAAACCAAAUGAGUGGCAGAAGUCUGUCCAUUUGUCUGCCUGUCUUUUUGGCCUUGGAUUACUGUGCUUUUCAAAGCUAUGCUUUCAUAACUUGGAUAAAAAGGUAAAUGUUUCAUAUAGCUCUACAAGUAGUAAUCAUCCUGUUUGUGCAAAAAAUCUGCUGCCUGAGGGAUGGGCCCAAACCAGAGGUGUUUCUCAUUUACCUACAAAGCGUCUGGCUUUAGCAUCUGUAGUCAGUUUUUGUGAACAUGUGAGUCCAUUGCCUGCUCUAACAGAGUUAGUGACUUACUUUCAGUGGUUGUAGAGUUUCACUGAAAUAGCACUGUUUGUAGUCCAUUGUGUGACUUAGGAGACACAAUAGCCAGACAAUUCUGCAAUUGUAAUAUAACUGUACGUGGCGUUCCCAGAAAAUGCUCUGAAGUCUUCUCCUGUUGCACCAUGGUGAUAAAAACCUCUGCUGCUUUUCAAGCUCCACGAGUCCAUGCUGUGCCGUGCUGAAAGUGAUAGAAAACCCAAUUAGCUCUGAAAAGUGAAGGGCAGAGAGGGGUGCUCUGGCCUGGAAUUCCCUCCCUUUGGCAGCAGCAAAGGUCAGCUGUGCAGCCAAAUUUCCGUGACCAUGUGUGGAUCCAGCUUGUGUGUGUUGCCAGCAAAGGGGAGUGGGAGAGGGGGGGUAGGAAGAAUUGAUUCUGGAAGGGGAAAGCCUGAGAGGAAGAGUGGAGUGAAAUGUGACAGCUGGGAUUUCCAGAAGGUAGUUUGAUGGAUGCUGGGCAUCCAGCUUCCCUAGAACUCAGUAACACCCUCUAUAUCUCCCUGAGUGACUUUUAGCCUGUCUGGCAGUUUUCAGCAUCAGUGUGUGAGGGAAAAGAGGUGGAAGGUAGUUCUCUCUGAUUUGGCAGCUCUGGGACUUCAAUACAUCUUUGUGCUGCUGGCUGAGGGUCUGGAUCUCUGGGGAGCUUCCUUACUACCUGUGGCUCCCACAGGCUUGUUGGACUGGGCUUAGAGAAACCCUGAGCUGCCAGAUGGAGGCUGCUCCUGGUGCAGCUCUUCUGAAUAGUCCUGGGUGUGGAUGUGAGCCUGCAGUCCUUGGGAGGCAAAAUGCACUCCACAAUCCCAAGGGACUUGCUCUAUCUAUCAGUGCAGGCCAGCUGUGGGAAUCCUCCAAGUCCCUUUAUCCUGAUCUGUGUGUCAAAGCCAUGUGGCUGACCAUGAGUGACCAGAGCUGCCACGCACCCUUCUUACAAGGGCAAUUGUCUUCAGAGUCAGCGUAGGUGCAGGCUACCUUUGGGAAAGUGUGAAUAUCCUGGGGAAAUCCAUGGGACAGAAACCUUGGGCCAUACUGUGUGCUGACACCACCAGCAGGCAUGAUAUUGACAGGGGUGCUUUGCUUUUGGUGUGAAACCUUGCUCUGAUGCAUCAUUCCAAGGAAAAUAGCUGGAAUUUGCUGGCCAGGUCAUGUGAGAUAAGUAAUUCCAGCUCCCUUACUGGACCUGAUUUAUACAGGUCAGGUCGAAUAUUUCUGAGCAAUUGUUGAUGGUGGGAGCUUUUUUGUUUGUUUGUUUCACUGAAACUUGAACCCUUUCAAAUAAAGAACAAAUGAGGUAUAAGGAAUUUUUAGCUGGAGUAUGUGCUUCAGGAUGUUUGCUGCAUUCAGGCUUUGAGAACACAAAUUCUCUGCACACAAUCCCACACACGAGGUUGUUGCCCUUGGAAGUGCACCAGGGAGAUGGGACUCAAGUGAGCUUUGAACAGCAAUCAUUGUCAUUAGUGGUGGUACUAUAAUAUGUGCUUGACUCAAAUCCAGCAUUGCACAGGAGAGAACCUGGUGAAACCUUGUAACUCGAUAUUUGUGGUUGUUCCUGCCAGUGUGAUCCACUGUUGAAUAGGCUAGACAUGAAUAAAAUCAGUAUUUUUUAAA